rnacentral:rRNA from 1 species
CCUACGGGUGGCAGCAGUCGAGAAUCUUUCACAAUGGGGGAAAGCCUGAUGGUGCGACGCCGCGUGGGGGAAUGAAGGUCUUCGGAUUGUAAACCCCUGUCAUGUGGGAGCAAAUUAAAAAGAUAGUACCACAAGAGGAAGAGCAGGCUAACUCUGUGCCAGCAGCCGCGGUAAUACAGCGGUCUCAAGCGUUGUUCGGCAUCACUGGGCGUAAAGCGUGCGUAGGCUGUUUCGUAAGUCGUGUGUGAAAGGCGCGGGCUCAACCCGCGGACGGCACAUGAUACUGAGAGACUAGAGUAAAGGAGGGGGAACCGGAAUUCUCGGUGUAGCAGUGAAAUGCGUAGAUAUCGAGAGGAACACUCGUGGCGAAGGCGGGUUCCUGGACAUUAACUGACGCUGAGGCACGAAGGCCAGGGGAGCGAAAGGGAUUAGAUACCCUAGUAGUC